CAGCAUGGCUCCAUCCUCUUUACUCCCUGCCAUUUGUACAUACUGCCAUCACUACUACCAGCUGGAGGUUCUCAGAUAGGACACAGAGGGUUUGGCCACAGUCCUGCCAGAGCAUUGAGAAGACAGUCAAAUGUGACUAUCUAGAGGAAGUAAAAGUUACAACAAGGUUUCCAUAGGUCAACCUGCAGAAGGAUCUCCC
rnacentral:ncRNA from 1 species